GCCGAGAUGGUGGAAUGGGAGACACUGCAAAUUUAAGCUUUGCUGUCCUAUGUGGCGUGUGGGUUCGAGUCCCACUCUCGGUA
rnacentral:tRNA from 1 species